UACGUAGGUGGCAAGCGUUGUCCGGAUUUAUUGGGUUUAAAGGGUGCGUAGGCGGUCUUCUAAGUCAGUUGUGAAAUACGGCAGCUUAACUGUCGAGGUGCAAUUGAUACUGGGAGACUUGAGUACUGAUGAGGUAGGCGGAAUGGACGGUGUAGCGGUGAAAUGCUUAGAUAUCGUCCAGAACACCGAUAGCGAAGGCAGCUUACUAAGGAGUAACUGACGCUGAGGCACGAAAGUGUGGGGAGCGAACAGG
rnacentral:rRNA from 1 species